rnacentral:rRNA from 1 species
UACAGAGGUCCCAAGCAUUGUUCGGAUUCACUGGGCGUAAAGGGUGCGUAGGCGGUCGGGUAAGUCUGAUGUGAAAUCUCACAGCUUAACUGUGAAACUGCAUUGGAUACUAUCCGGCUAGAGGAAUGGAGGGGAGACUGGAAUACUUGGUGUAGCAGUGAAAUGCGUAGAUAUCAAGUGGAACACCAGUGGCGAAGGCGAGUCUCUGGACAUUUCCUGACGCUGAGGCACGAAAGCCAGGGGAGCAAACGGG